rnacentral:rRNA from 1 species
UUCCGGUUGAUCCUGCCGGAGGCGACCGCUUUUGGAGUUCGAUUAAGCCAUGCGAGUAGAAAGAAAUUAGAUUCUUUGCGAACUGCUCAGUAACACGUGGAUAACCUGCCCUAUGCUCCGGAAUAACCUCGGGAAACUGAGAAUAAUACCGGAUAGAUCACAACGCCUGGAACGGUGUGUGGUUGAAAGAUUACGGCAUAGGAUGGGUCUGCGGCGUAUCAGGUUGUAGGGGGUGUAAAGGACCUCCUAGCCAUCGACGCGUACGGGUGUUGGGAGACAUAGCCCGGAGAUGGAUUCUGAGACACGAAUCCAGACCCUACGGGGUGCAGCAGGCGCGAAAACUUCACACUGCAGGAAACUGUGAUGAGGGAACUCCAAGUGCACGCACUUAGUGUGUGCUUUUUUCAACUAUUAAUCGGUUGAAGAAUAAGGGCUGGGAAAGACCGGUGCCAGCCGCCGCGGUAAUACCGGCAGCUCAAGUGUCGUCGCUUUUAUUGGGCCUAAAACGUCCGUAGCCUGUUUGGUAAAUCUGUGGGUAAAUCAACCAGCUUAACUGGUUGAAUUCUGCAGGGACUGCCAGACUAGGGACCGGGAGAGGUGUGGGGUACUCUAGGGGUAGGGGUAAAAUCCUGUCAUCCUUAGAGGACCACCAGUUGCGAAGGCGCCACACUGGAACGGAUCCGACGGUCAGGGACGAAGCCUAGGGGCACGAACCGGAUUAGAUACCCGGGUAGUCCUAGGUGUAAACGCUGUGAACUUGGUGUCGGGGAUCCGUCAUGGGUCCCCGGUGCCGGAGUGAAGAUGUUAAGUUCACUGCCUGGGGAGUACGGCCGCAAGGCUGAAACUUAAAGGAAUUGGCGGGGGAGCACUGCAACGGGAGGAGCGUGCGGUUUAAUUGGAUUCAACGCCGGA